AAAAAACAAGUUAUAGUAUGCGACAGGUUGAGAUGGCAAUCGGGGUGGGGACGCCCUGCCCACCCGCACAUCCCCCGCGCAAACUCGGUGUGGGAUAGCGCGGCUAACU